rnacentral:rRNA from 1 species
AACGAACGCUGGCGGCAUGCCUAACACAUGCAAGUCGAACGAGACCUUCGUGUCUAUUGGCGCACGGGUGCGUAACGCCUGGUAAGUUGCACGUAGGUUCCGUAUAACUCCCUUAAGGGUGUGUUAAUACCGGAUAAUGUCUUCGGACCAAAGAGUUAUUGCUUUUGGAUGGGCCCUCGUUGGAUUAGCUAGUUGGUAGGGUAAAAGCCUACCAAGGCGACGAUCCAUAGCUGGUCUGAGAGGAUGAUCAGCCACACUGGGACUGAGACACGGCCCAGACUCCUACGGGAGGCAGCAGUAGGGAAUAUUGGACAAUGGGCGAAAGCCUGAUCCAGCAAUGCCGCGUGAGUGAUGAAGGCCUUAGGGUUGUAAAGCUCUUUUACCCGGGAUGAUAAUGACAGUACCGGGAGAAUAAGCUCCGGCUAACUCCGUG